rnacentral:sRNA from 1 species
CCUGUGGUUGAAACCACAGGCUAUAUUAUUCCAUCCUUUCAGGAUU